rnacentral:lncRNA from 12 species
AUGUGCUCCAGAGAGGCCUGCUGGAAUACCUGCGGAGCAUGGGUACAUCCAUGCAUCCAACCUGCUGCCCCCGUAAGGCAGCCCCUACCUUGUAUGCAGAGCUUGCAUAGGACUAAGGCACCAAAGUUAGAUUCCGUCAAAAAAAUUAGAUUUCCAAUGGAGAAAGGCAAAAAGACAUCCCUCAGCUUGCUGGUGGCCCUGCCUGAGCCCACCAGCUGUGCUGACCAGCAGAGGCACCGCACUCCAGUGAAGAACUUUCCUCCUGCUCCUUCAAUAGCAGGAUCUUUGCAUGCUUCACAAGGCACUCUCCGGGGAAUGGGCUUCCCUCCGUGUCCUCCUGGUCCCUUGGAAACCUUUUCUAGACUAAACAACAGCUUAUUUCUAAUUUCUCUUACAACUUGCUCCCUCUGAAGAAGCCAGGCCCCAGCAAAGCCAUGUAAAAUCCCAAUCCUCUCUUCAGAUAUUGCUCUGCUUUUUUGCAUUACUGACUCCUUGUAAGAGCAGCUGCUCCUACACACACCAGUCCUGCAACAACCUUCAAUGAAGCAGUAAAAAACCAUCCUCUGAUAGAAACGGUAGACUCCUCCCUGGGUAAGUGCUGCCACCCCCGUAAUUCGGAUGCUCCCAGACUACAAAGCAGCCAUUUUCCACUCUGCUGGAGCUGUAGCAAUGUAG